rnacentral:rRNA from 1 species
GUGCCAGCAGCCGCGGUAAUACAUAGGGGUCAAGCGUUGUCCGGAUUUAUUGGGCGUAAAGAGCUCGUAGGCGGUUCAACAAGUCGGUCGUAAAAGUUUAGGGCUCAACCCUAAAAUGUCGAUCGAUACUGUUGUGACUAGGAUACGGUAGAAGUGAAUGGAAUCCCGAGUGUAGCGGUGAAAUGCGUAGAUAUUCGGAGGAACACCAAUUGCGAAGGCAGUUCACUGGACCGUGAUCUACGAAAGCGUGGGUAGCGAACAGGAUUAGAUACCCGUGUAGU